rnacentral:rRNA from 1 species
UACGUAGGGGGCAAGCGUUGUCCGGAUUUAUUGGGCGUAAAGAGCGUGUAGGCGGCUUGGUAGGUCCGCUGUGAAAACUCGAGGCUCAACCUCGAGAUGUCGGCGGAAACCACUUGGCUAGAGUCCGGAAGAGGAGAGUGGAAUUCCCGGUGUAGCGGUGAAAUGCGCAGAUAUCAGGAGGAACACCGGUGGCGAAGGCGGGUCUCUGGGCCGUAACUGACGCUGGAGGAGCGAAAGCGUGGGGAGCGAACAGG